rnacentral:rRNA from 1 species
UACGUAGGGGGCGAGCGUUAUCCGGAUUCAUUGGGCGUAAAGCGCGCGCAGGCGGCUCGUCAAGCGGGACCUCUAAUCCCGGGGCUCAACCCCGGGCCGGGUCCCGGACUGGCGGGCUCGGGUGCGGUAGAGGCAGGCGGAAUUCCCGGUGUAGCGGUGGAAUGCGCAGAUAUCGGGAGGAACACCGAUGGCGAAGGCAGCCUGCUGGGCCGUCACCGACGCUGAGGCGCGAAAGCCGGGGGAGC